UACAAAGGGGGCUAGCGUUGCUCGGAAUUACUGGGCGUAAAGGGCGCGUAGGCGGCGCUGUUAGUCAGGCGUGAAAUUCCUGGGCUCAACCUGGGGACUGCGCUUGAUACGGCAGUGCUUGAGGAUGGAAGAGGCUCGCGGAAUUCCCAGUGUAGAGGUGAAAUUCGUAGAUAUUGGGAAGAACACCGGUGGCGAAGGCGGCA
rnacentral:rRNA from 1 species